AUGGACCAUGAGAUUCCAUACAAUAGGUCCUAUGCGUGGGACUCGGAGGAUGAAGGCCUGGAUGAAGAAAUAGAUGAGGAUGGUUUGACGGCUAAAGAAGCCAAUGCUUUCAAGAAGAUAAUAGGCCGUAGUCACAAGACAUCAUUGUUUCGUGAUCUAAGCCUAGACGAUAAGGCGAUUGUUGAUGGUGGCACAAGUAAAAUUCUUGCACCAAGGUUAACUUCAAAGCGAGAUACCAAAGCACGUGUGUAUGGUGUUAGUGAAGGAACAAUCUUUGAAAGCUUGACAAAACUUCAAAUAUGGGCCAAGGACUACGUGGUUAAGUUUCAUCGGCCAUUCAUUGUGGAGAAGUCAAACUCGAAAGUGCGUUAUGUGGUCAAAUGUGAGGAACACAAGAAUCAUUGCCCUUGGGUUAUCCGUGCAAGAUGUGUCAAAGUCGGGCCACAAUAG
rnacentral:rRNA from 1 species